rnacentral:lncRNA from 1 species
GAAUAUUAUAUAAAUAUGCAUGUGGGGUAUGUGUGUGUAGUGUGUGUGUGUGUGUGUGUGUGUGUGUGUGUGUGUGUUUGUGUGUGUGUGUGUGUGUGUUGUGCAAUGUGUGUGUAUAUAUGAUGUGGAUGUGCAUACAAGCAUUUAUAUGUGUGAGUGGGUACAUGUGUAGCACAAAUGUGUAUGGAGGUCAAAGUAUGUGUAUGGAGGACUUUAGUGUUGGUCCUCACCUUGCAACUUGUUGGAGACGUUGGUCUCUUUGUUGUUCCUGAAUCAAUAUGCCAGCCUCGCUGGCCUGAGAAUCCCAGGGCUUCUCCUGCCUCCACCCACCAUCUCCUCUGAGGAGCACCAUAUGACAGACAUAUCCUACCAUGACUGGCUUUUACAUGAGUUCUGGGGAUUCAGGCUCCAGUGCACAAAAUUAUGUGGCAAGUACUUUCUCUGCUGAGCUAUUUCCCUAGAUCCACAUGCAUGUUUUUAAGAUUUAUUUUUAUUAUUUGUAAUUAUGUGUGGGUAUGUGUAUUGUAUAUGGGUAUGUGCACAUGAGUGCAGGUGCCCAUGAAGAUCAGAAGAAUUGGAGACAGAAUCACAGGCACUUGUGAGCCGCAUGACAUGGAGGCUGGGAACCAAAGUGUGGUCCUCUGGAAGAGCCUUUACGAUAACUCAGCAGUCAUCCUAUGUCCCAUCCCCCAACAUACUCUUUUUUUUUUAAUAUGUGAUCUUAACAAAGCAUCUAUAAUUGAUUUCAUUUCCUGAAUAUUACACUAUGAUGCUGAAAGGAAAAGUGAGCAAAAGCUAACCUGGGGAGUGAGUUCUCGGGCUGUCUUCACAGAUGCCUGAAUGCCUUCCACUGUCGAUUUAUUGGCAGUACCAACAGCAGCCGCCUUCUCUGCUGUGGCUCCAAGCCUUCCUGAAUGGUUUUCAAAAUUGGCUGCCCUUUCAUCAAAUACCUUGAGAAAAAAAUAAAAUAAAGACAUUAAGGAAAUGUAUUUCCAUAUAAUGCAUCAGGAAACCUGAAGAAAGGUCUUUUUAAUCUGAUUCUGCAACUGCUCAAAGAUCUUAUUACUAAAACAAUAAUCAAAUGGCAAAUCUUGACCUUUAUGUAUUUCCUCAGAGGUUCAGUCUUAAGCAUCAUACACAAAGAGGCACAUCCCCAAAUCUUCGUUUAAACCUACUUACCAAGAGCACACACAGGACUAUAUACUUUACAACAAGUUCACAAAUGCAAAGACUAAAUAAUUUCAUUCCCCAAAGGCCUUCUUACUUUGAAGAGAACGAUAAACCCCUCCAGGCUCUACCAUAGACAACCGGGUGCAUUACAAUCCCCAAGUAUCC